GAAGGUGCUUGAAGAAGUGCAGGUUGGUCUGAUGUGCAGUGAGCUCCUGUCCCUCACAAAGAAGAGCUGGUAGCUGGUCUCUUGGUGAUCUCUUGGUUUCCAGGUGAAAUGGAGGUGGAUUUUACAAGUUCCCUUUUCUAAACACAGGAGCUGGUCUGAGAUUGAAGGUGAGAAAAUGAGAAAGGACAGCUGCCCCCUGUGAAAAGCUGACCUAGAGGUGACUGCUGCAGGAUGGCUUGUAAUGGGAGCUUAUGUGUGUGUUGCCUUAUAAUGAAGUGUUAUGAUACCCACGGCUGCUGGGCUCUGGUGGUUUUUGUCUGGAUGAUUGCUGAGCAGUCCUAGAGGAGAAAACACGGGGAGGUGCACCUUCAAUCAAUAUUUCUGAAGGAAAAGCAGUCCUGGAGUCAAAACGUUUGGAGCGAAUGUUUUCACUUCAGCUCCUCAAAUUUUCAUCACGUGGUUCUCAAAGGUUACCCUGUCCUGCACAGUGAUUAGCAGCUCCUCUUGUAAUUGCCUCGUGUGAAGACUGUUUUAAAUGUUCCUGUGCUGGGAAUAUUAGUUAGUCCUUCAUGUGUGUUAUGAAUGGGAGUGAAUGUGAAAGCAGCCCCAACCUACAAGACUUGCUGGGCUACUUGUACAGCUGGGCUCAUUCUGGCCUUCAUUUUUUUGUCCUCAGUGUCCUCAUCCUUAUCUUUCUUGUCCUGGGGGGCAACCAGAGGCAAUUCUUCUGGGUUGCCCAAGGAGGCUGUGGAUGCCCCAUCCCUGGAGGCAUUCGAGGCCAGGCUGGAUGUGGCUCUGGGCA